GGGCCAGGGGGGUCUGGUUUUAUAGUCCCUUCAAGUGAAUCUGGGCCGUCGGAUCAAACCGAUAUUGAUCGCACGGUUUUCCUUGAUCCUUUAGGUCGGUGGAGCUUGGUCCGCAAAGUUGGACGUGUUUGACCACAACUCCUGGGCGGGCGCCCAAGGGGGGUGGGCGGGCGCCCUGCCCCCGGGCCUGUUCGCCUUCCCGUUCGUUCCCGUGGCUUCUGGAGUCUUCUAGAUGACGUAAAAUUGCGUGGCACGUUAAUAUCUCUGUGUCAACCCGACGUGUGGGCCUUUCUUCUGUAUGUCCUGAUAACCCCCUGCAGAAAUAGACAAACACCAAAACUUGUGUAAUUCUGUCAGAUAAAACCCUAAGUCUAGAUGUUGGUAGCAUUUGGAUCCUUUUCCAUGAUUAGUUGACGAUUAAAUGUGAGCAUUAAGGACCGUCAACAAGCUCCCCCAAGCUUAACCUUUGCUCGUCCCUGAGCAAAGAUGAACUCAAGAGUUUCUGCAGUGGUUUCAUAACUUAAAGAUACACAUGCAUUUAAACAAGAUCUCAUCUCUGGUUAGAGUAAACUAUUAAGACUUAAAACUUACUCAUUUACCUUUCACCAUGGGACUUGUAACCGUCACUUCUGUCUUGAGUAGUUAAAUGAUAGAACGGUCUAGUCAAGCACCAUGUCUCUUAUUCUUGAUCAGCUAUAGCUCUGGAGUUUUUGCAGAUUUUCAAAUAAAACUCAGAGAUUCCUUGUAUGACUCUCUCUAGUCUCUCUUUUGUGGUAUUUCUGGAUCCUUACCAAGGCAUUAAUGGUGUAUGCCUUCUCUCAAAGUAUGUGGUAUUUUUGGUAUGAGGCAUAGUGACAUUGCCUUCUCUCUCACCCUACUCUAAUAAGGCUUUUGAUAUCUGGAGCUCAUAGGUGGGAGAUAGCUAAUACAUACUUACAAGACAUUUAUUGCAUAGUCAAACCAUGGAUCCAGAAGAUCAAGUCAAUAAGUCAAAUCAAGAUGUGCAUGUGUGGCGAAUGAAUGGUGUAUGGUGAUGAUGGUGAUAACAAUGGUGAAAGCCUAAUUCUACUUAUGCUCUUUUGAGGGGAUACAUACCUUUCUUGCUCUUUUGAAACUUUUUGAGGAGAAUGAGAUGCUCUAUAUUUUCUUUUUCUUUUCUCUCAGGUGGGUAUCUUGUACCCCUAAUUCUACUGUCGGACACUUGUCCAUUUUUACCUCUUGUCUCACUUUUUUUUUCUUUUCUUUCGAGGUUCCGGGCACUUGCCCCUUUUUAUUUCCUCGUAUUUAUUUUUUUUCUCUCUCUUUUUUUUAUAUUAGAGCACUCAUCUCCUGAAAUAAUAUAGCAAGUGGUAGUAACCAAGAUAACUUGAGCAUUUAUUUCACAGGGGAAAAACAGAAAUGUUUUUGGCUAUUCUCUCCCGGAUUAGGAGUAGAAUAUUUUUAGGUGGCUCUGGAGAUGGAAAUGGAUGGAUAUAUGUGGAUGGUACUUCUGGAGUAGAAGUAGCAUGUGUGAGUGAACGUGCAAGUGAAUCUUGAUUUAACCACAUGACAAGCUCCUAAGGGUCUACACAGCUUGACCACACUCAAUGCUCAUAAGCAGUAAAAAGUAAAUGUGUGGUUCAUAGUCUAACAAGCAUGUAUAUAUGGCUGUGGUAGGAAUUUAAAAUCUCAUCAUACAGGAACUCAUCAUGCAACAUUUUAAAGAUUUUCAAAGAUAAAAUUCUCCAGAAUUCUAGCAUCUCUAGGAACAGAUAAACAGCAGCUCAACCUUCCCAUAUCGUAUCCGUUAACGACUUAGACUUUAGAUCAAGUACUCUCCCCACAAGUUCAGGUUUAGAGCAAAUCUUAAUUAAUAACAGUCAUGCCUAAACUUAAGAGAGAUUUCAAUUUUUAGAACUAGUCAUGGCAGAGCAACUAUUCAUCAUUUCCAUGUGAAAGCUUAUCAUGAGGGUUCAUAGCAAAUUUUAUUUAUUUAUUUAUUUAGCAAACUAAGCAAAGAUAUAUAUAUAAGCACAAAAUCUUUAUUUGGGUUUUUAUGAUUAUGCAUCUUUUUAUUAUUUGAGUAAAAUAUAAACGUGAGUAGAAUACUUAGGUGGAUAAAUGGAGGUGCUCUCCCCCAAGCUGGAUUUUGACGUAAUUCCUUUUGAUGUAGCAGGUUGCGGAGGUGUAUUUGAAUGUCGGCAGCACCCUGAUAUUGAUUAGGAUGUCCUCCGUCUACUAGUCUUCUUUGAUCCUUUAAUUCUGUGGAGCUCAAAUAGACAACAAAGCUUUGUGGAACUAGUUAAGUGUUAGCAUAAAUAUCUAGCCUUUAUCAUGUUGAGCCUCCUCAAUAAAUGUUACUCUCUUUAGUAGGAUCAUAUUUUCAUUUUUAUAGGACAGGAAUAUAUAUAUUUAUUUUUACGCCACCACAGUGAAUGUACUUAUGGGUUUUAUGCCAUGAGCAUACUCACAUGGGGCUUACUUAACAUUUUUAUUUUCUUUUCAAGAUGAUAUGAACCUGAUUAACUAAAAUAAUUGAAAGGAAAAAGAUAACUACCAAGUUUACCUCUUGGCAAGGCGUUCGGUGUUUUUACGUCCUCCGAACGGGACUCUCCGUUUUCUCAAUCAUCCUGGAAUUCGCUGGAUAGCGUAGUCGGUGGUUCUGGCGGUGCCUGCUCUUCGUGUAUAACUAUCUUCUCUCUCCACACAUGACUCGGUGCUACGGUCUCCUCAGGACAGUUCCGUUCAAGUUGUAUGUCUUUAGACCUUACAACUUCUCCUUCAUAGUCUACCCAUCCGUCCUUGAUGAUUUUGCCUUCUCUUGUUACGGUUGCGUCGUCUUCUUCUUGUCCUAACCUGCUUAGAGUCUUCAAUUAUAUAGUUAGGGUCAGUAAAAUAGUGGCGUACCUUCUCAGAGGUGAAGUGCAUGUGGACUUCUCUGGUUCCAAUGUAUAUGAUUGCUUUAAUGGUGCUAAAGAACGGUCUUCCAAGGAUGAUGGGUGGAUCGUAAUCGUCUUCUCCCAUGUCAAUAACCUUCAAUCUUUCAGAAUGUCUGAUCUGCCAUCUGAAGCUGAAUGUAUGUCAGUUUUAGGGGCAUGGUUCCGAAUAGGAGCUGAGAGGUGACUGGCGGCCAUUAUGUCGACGCCUGACCCGGUGUCGCAAAGCAUCUUCUGGAAGUUGUAUCCAUCAAUGGAGCACUGGAUGCUUGGCAUACUUGGGUCGUCCUUUUUGGUUAGGAACGGUGACUUAAGUCGACGAUCUUAACCUCCUUGAACUGCAGUGACCAUCUUUGCUGACUUGGUCCACAUUUGCUUGUUCCUGUUCCUCCUGUUGGUCCUCUUCCUUGUUUCAUGUCGGGAUUGCUCUGAGAUUUGUGUAGUCUUGUUCUUGAAGGAAAAUGUCUCAUUUCUCCCUUUGAUCUAGAAACUGAACUUGGCAGCACUCGCGUAGAUGAUAGCUCCCGAGGUGUUCAGGAAUGGCCUCCCUAGGAUGAUGGGUGCCCUCUCAUCAGUACCAGUCUCUAUCACCACGAAGUCUGCUGGGGCGUACAAGGUACCAACUCGUAUACAGAGGUUCUUCAAUAUUCCUUUUGGGAAACUUAGUGUACAGUCUGCAAGCUGCAAACCCAUGGUUGUUUCUGAUAAAUGAUGUGUAAAGAAUUUUUCUUAGAGUACCCUGGGCAUAAUGUUGACGCUGGAGCCAAAGUCGCAGAGUGCUUCCGGGAAGUCCACCAUGCCGAUGGAGAUCGGGAUGACGGGACGUCCUGGAUUGUAUCUCUUAACCGACAGAAGGUCAGUAAUUACUUCCACAACAGGGUUACUCCAGUAGUUACAUCCUCAAGCAUCUCAGGGCAGUGAUUGCCUGAGUGUCCAGUAUCUCCAGUGUGUUUGUGCUCGUAGAUCUAGGUUCUUCACUUGGUGGAGUCUGGGAGUUAUAAAAGUCCUUCAUAUUUUGCUCGAAGUGUACCUGCUCAUAGAGACAAGGCCGAGAUCAAGUGCAUGGGCUCUGUUGGUGGAAAACACCAACAGAACCAAAAGUGUAUUUGUUCUCUCUAACCUUAAGCAUAGUGAGCAAGACAAAGUUGAUGGAUAAUAAGAUCAUGAGUGUAGCAUUUAACAUUUGUCAGAUUAGAUUGCUCAACCUUAUGGAAAGAUAAUCUAUCUAUAUGUUUUGUUUAUAUCUUCCAAAGAUUGAGUGUGCAACAUUUUAGCUUAUACGAUUAGGAGUGUGGAAUCACAAAGGUGGAAGGACUAAACAUGUUGAAUCGAUUGGGUUGGUUAAUCUAGAGUUGUAGAUCAUACAUGUUUGUCUCUUUUAUUCAUGUGAAUGCCAGAACCAAGAAAAAGCUUAUAGAAGUGAUAGUCAAGUACCUUAAGAUGUUACCUUACUUGAAGAGUGAUGGUACAGUAUUACCUUGUGGAAGCUUUCCUUUCUUAGUGGUAGUGCAUCGUGUUUGUGGCACCGUCCAUGGAUCAUCUCUUGUGAGCUAUGCCUUCCUUGUGUAGAUUGUUAAACUUCAUGUGUCUCUCUCAUUGUCUCCAAUGUGAGUUUGUCUCAGGACUUCCCAGGUCGAUAUUGAAUGUUUUCCUGCAGGGGUUAGUCCAACAAAAUAUACCAAUGUCUACACAAGCGGUUUUUAGUUCAAUAACCAAACUAGACUCCAUGUCUAAUUAGAUUAAGGAAGGCUGUUUAACCUAAGCACCAUGCUUAAUUUAAAAACCAAUAGAAGUAUGUACAGUACUUCCAAACUAACACUUACUAGGAUAAACAAAGGUAGCGUGAUGGCUUUUAUAGAGAUCUACUCAAGUGGAGAUGAAGUAGUGUGAUUACUAUUUAACAAAUUGAGCAUGUCUCAGGGUAGGGAUAACCAACAUAGCAACAUGGCAAAUGAUGUUUUUGUAUAAAGUACUCCCCCAAGCUUGAAUUUUGCAAAAUCAAGUUUGGAUGAAUUUAAUUCAAUGUUGUAUGAUGAUUGGUUGGACAUACCUUGUGCUUGUCAUUCAUCCGAUCUUCUUGCUCCAAUCCUGGAAAGGUUAGUGACAAGAAUACCCGAAGGAAUUUUUUUACAAUUAUCCUUAUAUGCUCAAUACACAAGUUAAUGUUGCAAAUAAUUAAAAGCUCAUGUUACAAUCUGAUCAGUGCUUGUUUUAGGACACUAAGCUUGUCCUUGGGAAACCAUCAAUUUAUGUCAGCGAAGUGGUUUCCCCUCUAACGCUGACCUAUAUCAAGAUCAACUCAACGAGAUCUACAAAAUUUAUUAUAGACAUAUGCAUCGACAACCGCCCUUUUAAAGUUUUUAUAAAUAGAAAGGAUGUGGGGGAUGGAGAUCUCGAAUGUGGUGAUGUUGGAGAGACCAAUGGAUUGUGAAGAUGUUGCAUAUGAGCAUGGAGUAAAUGAAGUGGCUAUGAAAUAAAUUCCAUGCUCAUUAAUGCUUAGAGUGAAAUCCAUGUGGUAUGGUGAAAAUGGUAAGGUGAGUGUGGUAGAAAAAGAAAAAGGAUACACGGACGACUUGGUUCGAAACUAGCACAGCUACCGUUCCCCGGCAACGGCGCCAGAAAGCUUGUUGGGUAUUUUAAACGCAAACAGAAAAAUCCGCAAGCGCACGGAUACCGAUGUAGCUUUCACCCGGGAGUAUUCCAAAGUAUCGAUUUUCCACAGAGAACGUGAGUGUACUAAUUAAGAUCCAAGAUCGCCCAAGGAUAACUAUAUAAUUAUUUUUGGUGGGAAGAGAGGAAGUUUCCUGAGAGUUCUCUAGAUGAUCUAAGAAUCAAGAAUUACUUCAAGAUUAUCUAUUUCGGGACAUCAGAACACUAACCACAGAAAGAGAUGAGAAGGGGGCUAGGAAGCUCCGACUACGGUCCUACAAACACCGAUCCGAACCAGGUGGAAUACGUCGACCGUUAGGGCUGUCACUACCCUAAGGCUACCACAACAAUCCGCAGGAUUGGGUGCAAUUCCAGGUAAUCGCAAGACUAAACACCACGUUUAAUCUAUUAAUUACUACUCUAAUGUUUCAAAGACUAGAGCACUUGAUGCAAGCGGGAAUCCAAUAAAUAACUUGAAUGUAAAUAAAAGUAAUUAGAGAACUCAGGAGUUAUGAGUUGAAGAACCUGGAGAACGAUGAAGAACGAACCAGUUGCUGCAAAAGUACAAUGUUGAGGAAGAUCCGACAGAUCCGGCUCCUCCUCCGCUCUCCUCUUCUCUCUCCCUAUUUUGUAGAUUAGAACUAGAACUAACUAGAACUAGAACUAGAGGAACUAGAACUAGAACUAGAUGAACUAGAACUAGAUCUAGAUGAACUAGAGGUAGAACUAGAAGAACUAGAGGGAUCCUCUCUACUUGGAUGAAGAAUUGAAACCCUAACUUUGAUUUUGUAGAAGAGGUAUGAUCUCCAGGGUCCAGGGGGGUCUGGUUUUAUAGUCCCUUCAAGUGAAUCUGGGCCGUCGGAUCAAACCGACAUUGAUCGCACGGUUUUCCUUGAUCCUUUAGGUCGGUGGAGCUUGGUCCGCAAAGUUGGACGUGUUUGACCACAAAUCCUGGGCGAGCGCCCAAGGGGGGUGGGCGGGCGCCCUGCCCCCGGGCCCGUUCGCCUUCCCGUUCGUUCCCGUGGCUUCUGGAGUCUUCUAGAUGACGUAAAAUUGCGCGGCACGUUAAUAUCUCUAUGUCAACCCGACGUGUGGGCCUUUCUUCUGUAUUUCCUGAUAACCCCCUGCAGAAAUAGACAAACACCAAAACUUGUGUAAUUCUAUCAGAUAAAACCCUAAGUCUAGAUGUUGGUAGCAUUUGGAUCCUUUUCUAUGAUUAGUUGACGAUUAAAUGUGAGCAUUAAGGACCGUCAACAGGCUCAAAGUCUAAUAAGCAUGUAUAUAUGGCUGAGGUAGGAUUUUAAACUCUCAUCAUACAGGAACUCAUUAUGUGAUAUUUUAAAGAUUUUUCAAAGAUAAAAUUCUCCAGAAUUCUAGCAUCUCUAGGAACAGAUAAACAGCAGCUCAACCUUCCCAUAUCAUAUCCGUUAACAACUUAGACUUUAGAUCAAGUACUCUUCCCACAAGUUCAGGUUUAGAGCAAAUCUUACUUCAUAACAGUCAUGCCUAAACUUGAGAGAGAUUUUAAUUUUAAGAACUAGUCAUGGCAGAGCAACUAUUCAUCAUUUCCAUGUGAGAGUUUAUCAUGAGGGUUCAUAGCAAACUUUAUUUAUUUAUUUAGCAAACUAAGCAAAGAUGUAUAUAUAAGCACAAAAUCUUUAUUUGAGUUUUUAUGAUUAUGCAUCUUUUUAUUAUUUGAUUUAAGUAUAAACGCGAGUAGAAACACUUAGCUGGAUAAAUGGAGGU
rnacentral:lncRNA from 1 species